AACGAACGCUGGCGGCAUGCCUAACGCAUGCAAGUCGAACGAGACCUUCGGGUCUAGUGGCGCACGGGUGCGUAACGCGUGGGAACCUGCCCUUAGGUUCGGAAUAACUCCCCGAAAGGGGUGCUAAUACCGGAUAAUGUCUUCGGACCAAAGAUUUAUCGCCUUUGGAUGGGCCCGCGUUGGAUUAGCUAGUUGGUAGGGUAAAAGCCUACCAAGGCGACGAUCCAUAGCUGGUCUGAGAGGAUGAUCAGCCACACUGGGACUGAGACACGGCCCAGACUGCGACGGGAGGCAGGAGUGGGGAAUAUUGGAGAAGGGACGAAGGUCUGAUCAAGCAAUGCCGGGUGAGUGAUGAAGGCCUUAGGGUAGUAAAGCUCUUUGACCCGGGAUGAGAAUGACGGUACCGGGAAAAUAAGCACCGGCUAACUCCGUG
rnacentral:rRNA from 1 species